UACGUAGGGUGCAAGCGUUACUCGGAAUUACUGGGCGUAAAGCGUGCGUAGGUGGUUCGUUAAGUCUGAUGUGAAAUCUCCAAGCUCAACUUGGAAAUGGCAUCGGAUACUAUUCGGCUCGAGGAAUGGAAGGGGAGACGUGGAAUACUUGGUGAUAGCAGUGAAAUGCGUAGAUAUCAAGUGGAACACCAGUGGCGAAGGCGAGUCUCUGGACAUUUCCUGACGCUGAGGCACGAAAGCCAGGGGAGCAAAAC
rnacentral:rRNA from 1 species